GCCUUUGUGGUGUAGUGGUCAGCACGCUCGACGCGUAUUCGAGAGGUCCGUGGUUCGAGUCCCGGCGAGGGGA
rnacentral:tRNA from 1 species